rnacentral:rRNA from 1 species
AUUGAACGCUGGCGGCAGGCCUAACACAUGCAAGUCGAACGAGUGGCGGACGGGUGUGGAACGUCUUGAAAACUGCCUGACCGAGCGGGCUAACUACUGGAACCGUUAGAUACAGCCGCUUAACAUCAGUUGUGCCCUGGUGGGUUGAGCUAGCUGGUGGGGUAACGGCGCACCAAGGCGACGAGCCCUAGCUGGGCUGAGAGGAUGACCAGCCACACUGGAACUGAGAAACGGUCCAGACUCCUACGGGAGGCAGCAGUGGGGAAUAUUGCACAAUGGGCGCAAGCCUGAUGGAGCCAUGCCGCGUGUGUGAAGAAGGCCUUCGGGUUGUAAAGUACUUUCAGCGGGGAGGCGGUACCCGCAGAAGAAGCACCGGCUAACUCCGUGCCAGCAGCCGCGGUAAUUC